UAGGGAAUCUUCCACAAUGGACGCAAGUCUGAUGGAGCAACGCCGCGUGAGUGAAGAAGGGUUUCGGCUACGUAAAGCUCUGUUGUUAAAGAAGACGUGGGUAAGAGUAACUGUUUACCCAGUGACGGUAUUUAACCAGAAAGCCACGGCUAACUACGUGUCAG
rnacentral:rRNA from 1 species